AAGAAAAAUGUUGCGACGUGUAAAAGAAUGAGCCAACGAACGAGGGGAUGCAAUGUGAGGUGCAAUGCGGACAAAGUGAGCGAUAAAUGCGGCUUUCUUGAUGAAAAACGAUCGGAGAUGCAAGAUCUCCGUUACCUGUACAGGAGGGAUAAUUUUUCAAGUAAAGCUCAAGAAAAAUCCGCAACUACUUCUCUAUGUAUCCUACAACAAAUGGCUCAGUAAAAGCUUCAACAAAGCGCGAAUGCAGAAGAUUAAUAUUAAAAGAUGUGAGAAUAGAACCCCAUAUUAUUAUAUGCAUAUAUUUCAUUACUUCAUUUUCCAUAAUUGCAACACGUGCUUGUAUAUUGCGGAUCAGGACAACCACACAGAAGCAUC